GACGAACGCUGGCGGCGUGCUUAACACAUGCAAGUCGAACGGAAAGGCCCUGCUUUUGUGGGGUGCUCGAGUGGCGAACGGGUGAGUAACACGUGAGUAACCUGCCCUUGACUUUGGGAUAACUUCAGGAAACUGGGGCUAAUACCGGAUAGGAGCUCCUGCUGCAUGGUGGGGGUUGGAAAGUUUCGGCGGUUGGGGAUGGACUCGCGGCUUAUCAGCUUGUUGGUGGGGUAGUGGCUUACCAAGGCUUUGACGGGUAGCCGGCCUGAGAGGGUGACCGGGGACAAGGGGACUGAGAGACGGCGCAGAGGGGUACGGGAGGCAGCAGUGGCGAAUAUUGCACAGUGGGCGGAAGCCUGAUGCAGCAACGCCGGGUGCGGGAUGACGGCCUUCGGGUUGUAAACCGCUUUCGGCUGUGACGAAGCGUGAGUGACGGUAAUGGGUAAAGAAGCACCGGCUAACUACGUG
rnacentral:rRNA from 1 species